CAGAGCACCUUGGUUCAAAGGAUAGAGGAGGAGCAGAUAAGUGGGCCACAGUUAAACUUUUUCCCAUAAAAGAAUUAAAAUAUUUAAAUAAUGGACAAAUGCCCUAAGUUAUUUUGCUUUUUUAUUUUUGUGCUUUUAGUGGACUGUCACCUUUACUUACACGUAGCUGAUUCUGCACCCAUAAAACUCCAUGGAUUGCCAAAUGAAUCAAAUGAAAACAACGAAGCAUAUCAACACAAUGAAUAUCCAUCAAAAUAUUCAGGUAUAAUGAAAAACAAGAGUACCACCUCCAAGAUGAAAGUCGAGCAAGACAAUGAUAUAGCAUAUGCUAUACCUAAAAGAUACAUCAAAUGGAAUAUAAGGAAUAUGGAUUUAUAAAACUCAAUCCAUAGUUUCCCUUUCAUAUACAACCACACAACCGGAAACAAUAAAUGCAUCAUGUAAUCAGAAAAGUAUGGCCACUAUUUUUUC